GCCCUCUCUUGUUGUAAUGCGUAACUAAGUUACGUAUCAACUGUGCCAGCUCUGAUAUCAAUUCAAGCAGCUAGCAGGCAAGUGAUCCUCCGGACCGGGUCGACCGUACCCAGCUUCUAGAUCCUGCAUGCAUCCAGGCCACGUACGUACCGGUAAGCCCGGCGGCCGGCUAUAUUCGACUCCGCGGCGCAGUUAGCUCGUUCAUUGUCGACUUCGACAGUCGCGCCGUUGUUUAACGGACUGGUAGAUAGAUGAUGAUGAGGAUGAUGUGCACGUCUGAGGUAAUACGGGACGUCUAGAAUUACAAACACGGCAAAAUUUGAGAGCAUGAUGAGACCGAGAUAGCGCCAGACUCCUGACUUUCGAGGUCGAGGCGGAACAACUUCGUUCACAGAUCAGCUACGCUACAGCUUCAAUCAUCAGCAUGUCUUGUCAUUUUAUGUCAAUUGUCAUUGCAAACAAUUUCAAUGAUCUGCCAAGAGUUUAACGUGAUGUGCAUUUGUUGAGCAUAGGCCUAUAUGUUAUUGAGCAGACUAUAAAGACAAUUUAUUCAAUUUUGAUGGAAAUUCUGUGUUUUGGAUAACUGAUGAACAUUUAUAAUUGGUGAUGAUGAUAUCACGCUGUACAGAGCGUGAUGGUUGACUGGUGAGAAAAAAGACAGAAAUGUUGUCUGAGAAUCAUGGCUGUGCUUCUCCAAGCAACACAAAGCCACUGAUUUUCAGAAUCAACGAGAAUGGUGUGGGACCUGAAGUGGUACGCGAUGUCCUUCUGGAUAGGGGAUGGGAGGAGUUUGUGGAGGGUGAGAUGGAAGAAUUUGACUGGAACCUGUGGUGGCGCACCAGCCGCUUUCGCCUCUGUGACUAUACAGACCUGAUGCCAUGGCAACGCUUGAACCACUUCCCAAAGACCAUUGCAAUCACCAAGAAGGACACCCUAGCAAGGAAUAUGAGACGGAUGAAGGGUGUGUACGGGUCAGCAGUCUUCAAUUUCACUCCAAAUGGAUUCAACCUGCCCAAUGACUACACCAAGUUUGUUGCAGAGUACUCCAAAAGGCAGCAAGCGGAUAAGGAAUCUGGCAAGAAAACUUUGUGGAUAUGCAAACCUGCUGACAUGUCCAGGGGGCGUGGCAUCUUCAUCUUCAAAGACCUAUCUGACCUGACCUAUGACUGCAGUGCAGUUGCCCAGAGGUACAUCACAAACCCCCUUCUCAUAGGAGGCUACAAGUUUGACCUUCGCAUUUAUGUGCUGGUAACCAGCUUCAACCCUCUGCAUAUCUACAUGUACCAGGAAGGAAUUGUUCGAUUCAGCACAGAGAAGUUUGAUCUGUCUUCUUUAGGGAAUAUGUUUUGCCACUUGACAAAUACAAGCAUCAACAAGCUAGGUCCUUCUUACACUGCUCAUAAGGAAGGUGUAGGACCUGGAUGCAAAUGGAGUCUCACUAUGCUGCGGAACUACUUCAAUCAACAAGGUAUCAAUGAUGAGGUCAUCUGGCAGAGGAUAUGCAACAUUGUAACAUUGACCAUGCUGGCUCAAGCACCUACAGUACCCAAGUCUCCUGGAUGUGUGGAAUUGUUUGGUUAUGACAUUCUAAUUGACGAUAAUCUCAAGCCGUGGCUGCUUGAAGUAAACUUCAGUCCUGCGUUAGGGUUGGACUGCACUGUGGAUCAUAACGUCAAGAGACCACUUAUCAAUGAUAUUCUAGACCUCAUGCAUUUUGAAGAGGGAGAUGAGAAUCGCGGAGGGGAGAAGUUUGUGAAGCUCAAACAAAAACAAGUUUACAACUCAAAUAGACACAGCUUUCUCAUGCCAAGCAAGAGAGGGUUUAUACCUAAGUCUGCAGUGAGAGAUAAACCUAUUCUUGAUCCUGUAGGUAAAGUCAACAAAGCUGGGUCUAAAUCAUCCCUCUCUAAAGUUUCUUCAAGGAGUAGAGUUACGAGUGGUGCCAAGCUAGCCCCUAUCACCAUGGGCAGUGUUCAGAAGGUUCCUUCAAAUUCAGCAGCUAAGAAACAAUUAUCAGAGGAGGACUAUGAUGAUGAGAUAGGGGCUGCUUGCAAGCGAACAUCUAGUGAAGUAAGCUUACAGGAUUCCAAAUCAUCACAAGACGAGCAGUCAUGCAAUGAACCCAAUAGAUCUCAGUUAAGUAAGUCUGGCAAUGGCAUUCAGAAUAUUCUACCAAGUCUGGAGGAUGCCCGAAAGCAACUGGACAGCAGGAGGGAGUUGAUACGUAGUCAGCAGCGAAAGCGCACUCCUCUUUCAUCGCCUCGUCGGAGACCCUCAUCCAACUCCCUGGGUAAUCCUUCCUCCAUUGAACUUGUUGGUGGCAGAGCGGAGGCAUUAUCGGGCAUUUCUCUGAGCAAGUCGCAGAGUCAACUGCCCCCACCUUCCACAGGGUCAUGCAACACAGAACCUAUGCAGAGCAAUCAAUACGCAAAGACGUCCAGGAGAGGUGGCGUCCUUCCAUCAGGCAACUCGCAGGGAUCAUCUUUAGAUCAAGCACAGUUGAAGAAGAAACCUGCCCUGACAAAACCCUUGACAUCCAGAACGGGUUUGAAGAUGGGGGCCAGAGAUGGUCCACCAUCAAUCAUGAGAACUGAACAAGGUGUGCAAGGUUCCAAGGCGAAGUCUUCAAUGACGCCCCUUCAAAGGGUUGGUGACUUUGUAUUGACUUUUCCAUUCAAUGAAGCAACACGCCGUGCCAGUGCUCCAUCUCUUGAUAUCCGUACCAUCAUCAAGGAGACCCAGAAGAUGCUUCGAAGGACCAUCUGCAAGGCUCAGUCCAGUAAGCAGUUGACUCAAGGCUUGUUGCGGGAAAAGCAAGUUUCUGGUGGAAGCGUCAAGCAAGAGAGGGAAGUUACAGUACAGUGGACCCCUCUGAUAUCGCAACCAGUUAUGAGCUGAGAAGGUUGAUGAUUACUUUGAUUUUGUUAUAGAGAUCUUUUGUACCAAUGCUGCCAAAUUGCUCUGUAAACUUUCUUGCAGAUGAAAUUCUUUUUAAUUCCUUGAUUGAAGACACUGAUAAAGCAAUACUAUACAGUAUAUGUCACUCUGUUUGACUCUGUAGUAGCAAAUAUCUUCCAGCCUAAACUAAAGAGUGAUUGCAAACUGAUGGGAACUGACAUUUUCUUGUUUCUGAAAUGACAUUGAUCAACAUGUGUAUCACUUCUCACUUUUGCUUUUGACUUCAUCACCUAUGCAAACUACAUGUAGUAUCAAAUAAUGUCUAUUCUUGUACACAGUACUUCCACAUGUAUGUACUUCACUGAAAUUAUUAAGAUGAUUAUGUCUAAUGUGGUUGAUUCACAGUAUAUGGGGCAACCAACAUGAUAUACAUCUACAUGUAAAUUACAAAUUACUGUUGCAAUCUACUGAAAUCGUGCCAUUGGAUUGGCAGAGGGCAAAUUGUUACAGAAUACUUGUGUGUUAUUUUCAGGACACACUGCCCACAUCAAUACCUUUUGGAAUGCAGUAGUCACCUACUCCCCCCCCCCAAAAAAAAAAAAAUAAUAAUAAUAAUAAAAAUGAUCCAUACAUGUAUAAUACAUAUACAUUAUACAUAUAUCACUGAUAGUAAUUACAAAAUUUUGGAAGAAAAGGGAGACCAUUACAUAUCCGUAUGAUAUACAUUGGGAUUCAUUUGAAUAGUAAAUCAAUUAUGCUACAAAAGCACUGCUUACACCAGGGGGGGGGGGGGAGAAUUCCCAAAUAUUGCCAGAGAGCCCUGAAAAAAAAUUGUAAAAGCCCUAAAAAAUCCCCAGUCACUGCAGUGUUAAACAUUAUCUAAUUUUGCAGAUUUAUGGAGUUGGUUGUGAAAAUGAUAGUCCCCAAAAAUGAAAAAAUUGAUUUGCCUGGCUUACACUGCCCUCCCUAGUAGUUGCCAUGAUAUAUUUUUGUUGACCUUGCACAAUUUAGUUUUUCACAAGAAAUCAACUGAAUACUUCAAAGAUGGCUUUGUGAAUUGUGAAUCUUCCACAUGACCAUAGCAAUACUAACUCUGAUCUUCCUUCAUAUUCCUAUAUUGGACAAAAACAAAUGAAUGCUGAAGAGGAAACAAGCAAUAAAUUCUCUACAUUUUUAGCUUUACCUUUUGAGUAUAAUAAUAUAAAUUUUACAUCAGUUACUAUCAAAUGGAAAUUAUAACUGUAAAUAUUCUAUAGUUGAUGUCUUCCUAGCAUAUAUUGAUUCACUAAAAGUUUGAUCUGAAAUUAUAAAUGUUGAAGUUUUGAAAUAGAUGUAUGCCUUCUUUAUAAUAUUGUAGGUAUGGGGAUUGUUUUUGGAAACUAAAUAUUUUAAUUGACAACGAUUGUCUAUGAAAAUUGAAAUUCUACUAUCUUCCAACAACUGCACGUUGACUUGACUUGACAUAGAUAUUGAUUGGGUUUUACAUGGUUUUCAUAUGAAAUGGAAAAGUUCAUGGUGUUGACUGUAAAAAAAUAAUUCAUGUGUUACCAUGAAAUGAUUGGGGGGCUGAAUCAGCUCAUCUUCUGUAGACACUUUUCGCAAUAAAUUUGUAAUAUGAGAAGUUCUCAUUUUUUAAACUUUUCUUUAGACACCAAAUUCUGUGACACCUAGGUACAUGUCUGAGGUUCUCAAAGUAUGCAUGAUUCUGUAUAUCAUGAAGACAUGAAAAUGCCAUUUACAAUCUCAAUUUCAAGCUAAAAAAAUAUUUUUGCUAUUCUGAUUAGGCUAUAGAUUUGUCCAUGUGCAUGUAGUUGUAAGAAUAUACAGCACAAAAUGUCAGAUUUUCUUGAUGAAUUAUAAUGAUACACAUAUACUUUGCUACGACUUCUGUGAAGUGUUAGGUCUUUUAGGUGCAUGCCAUUGUAGUUUGUUGUGUUGUUACUAAUAUGGUGAAAACGAGAAAUAUUUUUAUGUGCACACAAUGGGGGGGGGGGGUAUAUUUUACUUCAUAGGGGAAUAGCAUAAGUCUUAUCUGUACAAUGUGGAAAAUAUAGAGUACGUUUUCUGUCUUGUAUGGCCAUUCCAUGUACAUGUAGGCUAGAGGAUUUGAAAGGAAAAUGUAGAGCAACUUGAAAAGUAUAUAUGAAUCAAUAAUCCAAACAUACUAAACUUCCUUUUCUUAAUGGGGACAUCCAUCUUCUUCGGGUCUUUAAUAGUGGGGAGGUUCAUGGAGUGCUUUAAUAUGCUUGCAAAAUGAGACAAUUCAUUAACGUAUCAUGCAAUUUGAUAUUGAAGAAUAAGAGAUGGCUCUCGUGUUUUUUCACUUUAUUUUCAGUAGUUCCCCCCCCCCCUCAAAAAAAAAAAAGGACUUGUAUGGGAGAAAAAAUGGUAUUGAUACAGUAUUACAGGUGAGCCGUAGGUAUGUCUUGAUGAUAGAAGAUCAUAUCAUACCAGCAAUAAACAUUUCAAUGAAGUUACAUUAGCCCCCCCCCCCCCCCCCACUAUAGUAUGGACAUAAUUAGUAAACAGCCUGUAUGUGUCCUGAAAUGAAAUGCAAAGAAUUGGAGUAGCAAAAGUCCUCAAUUUUUAAUCAUUACUAUUAUAGAACCCAUAAUUGACAACUGUCCCUAUAUGAAAGGGAAUUCUAGAUUUAUUUUCUACCUCAUUGAUUUGUGUUAAUUUAUUUUGAGGGCCGGGUGUGUACAGUACAUUUGUUGUGAAAUUUAUAGUUCUUCCAUUCCAUCAACUACUGCAAUCUUGUACACAACAUCUCAAUAUAAAUCUAGGAAUAUAAUAUAUGACUUACAUGUAUACUCAUGUACACAGCUGAUGUAUUUCCGAAUUCAAGCAAAUCUACAUUUUUUAGAUAGAUACAAUAUUUAAUCUACGUUUGGUAUGUACAUAUACGAGUACUAUGUAUUUGAUUUCUUGACAGGGAUUUCCUUAACAAUUGUUGUUAUCGGGGCAAUUAGGAUUGUAUACACUAUAUUUAUAUUUGUUUUCUCAUAAAUAUUUGUCAUUGAUUCAUACCAAUGAACUCUCAUUCGGAUAUGAUGAAAUUUACUUUGUGUAAACUGUUGCUUUGUUGCUCUAUAGGCUUUAUAGCAUAAUGUGUCCAUUUCUCACUUUUUGUGGUUUACAUGUAUGUGUUUCAUAAAACUGUUACAGUGGAUUUUACAGACAAUGGGUACCGUAAUCCUUUCUUGUGGAAAAUGAUACAUACGAAGUAUUCAUUGGUGUUGAUUUGGUUCCUAAGAAGGGGUCACCAGUCAUUCGUAAAGUCACUCGUAACUCACGAACAGCUUUAAGACACACUCCACAGGUUAGACUGAUUUCAUGCAGUACAUGGCUAGUUUGCAGACAACCGUAAUCAGGAUUGUUGAAACAUAUUACUGGAGAGUGGUCUAAAUUAUCAGACUACCAGUCUGAAUGGGCUAUUCAUUUUGUUUUUGUUUAAACAGGGUAGUCCUAUGUAUAUCUCUAUGUAGAGGCAAUUUGAUUUUUCAAAACUUUUGUGGGGCCCUGAGGAAUUAUGAUAUUUGUUCAUCAUUUUAGAAUAAAGCAAUAAAUAGGACUGAAUAGUUAAUCACAAUUGAUAUAUUAUAUGUUAAAUGAUUUUAAGAAAAAAAAAUAUGAGAGAACCCCCCCCCCCCCCCCCCUAACUUGAAAAAAUUACAGAUUUCUAAAGUCUGAGAUUUAACUUAUGUAAGAUUUAAUGAUUCAUAUUGUUUAUUACACAAUGUAUUUGUAAUGCUGCAUAUUGUUUCAAAUUUGAUUUGAGUGAGAUAGUACAAUAUUAGUGCAUGGUUUUGUAUUUGUUUUCAUGGGCAAUAAUAAUAGUGCAUGGUUUUGUUAUUUGGUUGCAUGGGCUUGCCGCCUUGCCGUGAUGUAUUGUUGGUGGAUUGAAAAAAAAACAGUUCUCUUUUAGCUUUAAUAAAUGCUAGAUCAAAGAUAUAUAUUGGUAUUAAUGUUGAAA